CGCAGGGCUACACCCUGCGCUGACAGAUGUCGCCCUUUCAGGGCU
rnacentral:sRNA from 1 species